AUCUUUUUGUGAUAUGUAAGCAUGAUGAUUGGGUUUCAUGCUAUUGUGUGAGAUGUGCCUCCCUCAAACCUUGUUAUGACAUCGGUAUAUUACCAUCUGACA